rnacentral:ncRNA from 1 species
GGCUUACUUUGAUACAACACGGAAAUAAUCAUCUGGCCCGGGUACCAUUAGGAUUGACAGAUUGACAGCUCUUUCUUGAUUCAGUGUUGGUGCGCAUGGCCGUUCGUAACUGGCACAGUGAUUUGUCUGGCUUAUUCCAGUAACGAGCAAGACUCUGGCCUACUGAAUAAUUACAGAAUAGCUGACGACGCACUACCUCAUCCAAGAACUGCUUACAAGAAAGCUAAUUUGAACUGCCAAGUCGUAUGCCUCCUACAACAACAGGGAUGAACUGUAAUGUAAAUAGCAGUCGAAGGAAGCCGAUAGAGUGGUUGCAUAGCAGUGAUUUGCAAUGAUGAUAUUGGUACAGUGAGCAAACUCUGAGGUAGUGUAGUGACAAAUAUUGUUUGUAAGCGAAGGCGGGAUGCCCCGUUACGCCCAGUUGCAC